CAAGACUUAGUUUAAAUAAUUUAGAAUUUCGGUUUUGGGGACAGGGGGUGUUUGUGGCAGUCUUGA
rnacentral:tRNA from 1 species